rnacentral:rRNA from 1 species
AACGAACGCUGGCGGCAUGCCUAACACAUGCAAGUCGAACGAGACCUUCGGGUCUUGUGGCGCACGGGUGCGUACCGCGUGGGAACCUGCCCUUAGGUUCGGCAUACCUCCCCGAAAGGGGUGCUAAUACCGGAUAAUGUCUUCGGACCAAAGAUUUAUCGCCUUUGGAUGGGCCCUCGUUGGAUUCGCUAGUUGGUAGGGUAAAAGCCUACCAAGGCGAAGAUCCAUAGCUGGUCUGAGAGGAUGAUCCGCCACACUUGGACUGGGACACGGCCCAGACUCCUACGGGAGGCAGCAGUGGGGAAUAUUGGACAAUGGGCGAAGGCCUGAUCCAGCAAUGCCGCGUGAGUGAUGAAGGCCGUAGGGUAGUAAAGCUCUUUUACCCGGGAUGAUAAUGACAGUACCGGGAGAAUAAGCUCCGGCUAACUCCGUG